UGGCUACCCAACACCGGACUUGCGGGCAGUCGGACAUCACCGGCCCUGGGAGAUCUGAACCCACGGCCGGUCUCGUCAUAAAGAGCCAUUCGUACAGUUUAUGCUGUCGGCUAUGGUUCUAAGAAUGCGCUUCCAAGUCGAUGGCUAGUACCACCGCAAUGACACUGGCAUCUAGAUGCCAGGACCGGCCAGGACCGGGAUAAGUAGAGGAAAGAAAGGGUUAACUUGACUCAUCUACUACCCGGGCUUCAAAUCUCUCCUUUCCAAUACUUCACUCUGCUCUACAGUGCCUUUUUCUGUGUGUAGCGAAAGAUGAUCCGAGAAGCAGUCGUUUGCUUAUUCCAAAAUCAGCGUGCCAGAGCCUAGGAAAGGAAGGGUGCAUUCUAGACAGGAAGCCCCCUUCCUCCACGUCCUACAGCUGUGUGGAGCUCAGCCAGAAGCAAAGCCAGAACUGUGGCUGGCAACCGGACCAUGGAGGCUGCCUGAGGCUUCGCACAGAGGGCCAUGCGAUCUUGUCAGAUCUUGGGUAUCAUCCGGCUUUGCUCCUGAUCAAGUCAGAUGGAAGGAACUCAACCCUGAAGCAGCCCCUCAUGUGGGAUUGUCCUCAAAACCAAGCAACUACCAUCCGGUGGAGUUCCGCUGCUCGGUUUACCAACAUCAUCCCAGGUGGGCUGUUGACUGUUUAUACGCCUGCAUUUGGGGUAAAGGAGGGCCAUGAGGCCCUCACCUGUGUAUGUAAAUGCCUUAAUUGCACAGCUCUUGGGGAAGAUCUAGAACUUUGGGGGCAGGAAAGGCUAGUAGGAGGGGCCCUCAUCUCUGCAGGGUAAAGGCUUUCCUGGUGUGACCUCUCCCUGUAAGUAACCUCCCACGUAAGCUCUGUAAGGAAGUCCGAUAAACUCCUGGGUUCCUCGGAGUGAACUUUGGCAGGAUUUUGCCUCCAUUUGACCUGGGACCCGAAGAGGAGGACAAGCAUUGCUGAAGUCUCUCUCUGGAAAGGAUUUCAGCAAUACUCCCAUUCUUUCUUUUUGGUCUUCAGUUGAGGUAAAUAAAGCGAGAUCACGGGUCUUUGGAAAACUAAACUAUGAAAACACAGGAAAAGGCUAGGAUUUCCCAUGGGGAAUGACCAUUGACUCAGAGAUUUAACAGGCUCUAGGGGCAGCACAGACUGGAUUCAGCAAAAAAUGUCUAAAGGCACUCGGGAGGCAGAGGCAGGCGGAUCUCUGUGAGUUCAAGACCAGCCUGGUCUACAGAGCUAGUUCCAGGACAGGCUCCAAAGCUACAGAGAAACCCUGUCUCGAAAAAUCAAAAAAAAAAAAAUGUCUGAAGGAUGGGAACAAUUUCAAACACUUGCCUUCACACAAUUAAAAACGUGUAAAAGAGGCCUUAAGUAAGGAAUGACAAUUUCCAUUACUUGGAAUGGCUGUGAUAGUGGACAGCAUGGCAACCUGGCUUCAAAUGACACAAAUGAACAGAAACAAAUUUUUUAAAAGCAUUUUUAUCAUGCAUUUCUCAUUUUCUGAUAAAAAAUUAAAAAACAGUAACAGUGGAUAUGACAAAAGUAUAUAAUAAAUAUGUAUGAAAUGUCAUAAUGAAACCUACCAUUUUGUAUAAUGAUUAUAUAGUAAUAAGACUUUUUAAAAUAAGGGCCAAGCAUAGUGGUGCACAUCUCUAAUUUGAAGUAUUUGAGAGACAGAUGCAGGCCAAUCUCUGACUCUGAGGUCAGCAUGAUCCACACAUAGCAAGCUCUAGACCAGCCAGACUGAGCAAGUACUGAGUCCUUGUCUCAAACUCCUGCCCCCACCGCCCUUUUAAAGAGAUAAAACAAAGGCUGAGGAGAUAGCUCAGUAGCUAAAGUGUUUGCCUUGCUGCAAGCAUCAGACCUAAAUUCAACUCCAAAAACUCAUUUACAGCCUCCCUGCUGGGGAGGCAAAUCCCUGGGGCUUUCUAGGAAGUUUAGCCCACUUGGUGACUUCAGAACAGUGAGAGGCCUGUGUGUGUGUGUGUGUGUGUGUGUGUGUGUGUGUGUGUGUGUGUGUGUGUAGGGGAUGGGGGUAGGGUGGAUAGAGAGAGACAGACAAGACAGCCUGAAAUACACCUGAGGCUUCUCAUUCUAACCUGUGAAUUCUUAAGCCCUUGUUUUUUGAAUUCACAAAAGUAAAUUCUGCGACCAAAGAAAUGCAUGUGCAAGUUUGGUCUUUACCUAUUCUAAAUUUGAGAAAUCAGACACAUCUGGGGGCUAUGGCAUCUAAUUUCUAGUCUCUUGGAGAUUCGAUUCAUGCUAUACAAUCUGUGUUUUAUCUGUUAAGUGAUAUAUCCAAAAGGAGCCUUGGCGUGGCUAUGGAUAGCUUUUUCCCUAAGCAGAUUUAUGCAUUCCUGAGGAUCUGAUUACGUGGUCUGAUCCUCUGAUGUUUUAAAAUAUCAGUAUGUUGUCUUCAGUUAGGACUGCAGCACAGAAGCAAACACGCCAAACAUUUAAAAAUGCUCUCGCUUUUCAUAUCAGAUUCGCCAACUGGCAUCAAGUACGAAAGUCGGUGUGUUGUCCCGCUACAGGGGAACACCAGUUGGAGACCUUGAGGGUGCUAGAUUUAGACUUGAGACUGUCAAAAAUGGGACAAUGAACUGGGCUCACUCAGAAAGCCUGGAUUCUGCCCUACUUUGUACGUGGAAACCCUAGAGGACCACUUAACUCUCUGCAAACAAAAGGAAUAGUAAGGUCUGUGUGUGGUAUAAAGUUCACUUGAGAAAAGAGCUGCUAAAUCACCCCCAAAAAAAAAAAAAAAAAAAAACCAAUCCCUGACACCCCGCCACCAGAUUCCCUAGGCAGCAAGAACCGUGCUAGACUCCUGAUAGUCUGCCAUUCCCCGGAGAGGCGGAGGGGGCAGGUAUCCUCGUCGAGCCUCCCUGCGCUCGGUCACAAGGCUAGGAACCUCGGAGUGGCUGGACUCGGCCCGGCCCGCGCGCCCGCGGCCGCUCAGGGGCCGCUCGGGCGAGCGGGCGGCGCGCGGGCUCCGAGGCCGGUGCCGCGGCUCUAACGUGCCGCACGGGAAGGCCGGCCGAUCCGAGCCGAGCGGA